rnacentral:rRNA from 1 species
AUUGAACGCUGGCGGCAUGCUUUACACAUGCAAGUCGAACGGUAACAGGCCGCAAGGUGCUGACGAGUGGCGCACGGGUGAGUAAUGCAUCAGAACGUGCCCAGUCGUGGGGGAUAACUACUCGAAAGAGUAGCUAAUACCGCAUACGAUCUAUGGAUGAAAGCGGGGGACCGUAAGGCCUCGCGCGAUUGGAGCGGCCGAUGUCAGAUUAGGUAGUUGGUGGGGUAAAGGCUCACCAAGCCAACGAUCUGUAGCUGGUCUGAGAGGACGACCAGCCACACUGGGACUGAGACACGGCCCAGACUCCUACGGGAGGCAGCAGUGGGGAAUUUUGGACAAUGGGCGCAAGCCUGAUCCAGCAAUGCCGCGUGCAGGAAGAAGGCCUUCGGGUUGUAAACUGCUUUUGUACGGAACGAAACGGCUCUGGUUAAUACCCGGGGCUAAUGACGGUACCGUAAGAAUAAGCACCGGCUAACUACGUG